UACGUAGGGUGCAAGCGUUAUCCGGAAUUAUUGGGCGUAAAGAGCUCGUAGGCGGUUUGUCGCGUCUGCCGUGAAAGUCCGGGGCUCAACUCCGGAUCUGCGGUGGGUACGGGCAGACUAGAGUGAUGUAGGGGAGACUGGAAUUCCUGGUGUAGCGGUGAAAUGCGCAGAUAUCAGGAGGAGCACCGAUGGCGAAGGCAGGUCUCUGGGCAUUAACUGACGCUGAGGAGCGAAAGCAUGGGGAGCGAACAGG
rnacentral:rRNA from 1 species